rnacentral:rRNA from 1 species
AUGGGGCAGUCCAAGCCAGUCCUGGUCCUCCUCCUGCUCGCCGUCUCCACUGCGGCGAGCAGCGGCAAACCGCUGCUCACUAAGAUCACCAAAGGCGGCGCGGCGACGGCCCUGUACACGGCGCCGCUCAGCGCCGGCCGCCCGCUGGUCCUCGACCUCUCCGCCCCGGCCAUCACGACGCCGUGCAGCGGGCAGACGACGACCGUCACGCUCUCGGCCAACUCUACCGACGGCAGCAACCCGCUAUCCCUGGUCUCCUUGGCUGCCACUGCCACCUGCGCGGCGGCACCGUCCGGUGCCGUCGGCGUCGCGGGGCUCGCGCGCUCCAGCGCCUCGUUCCCGGCUCAGGUGGCGAGCACGCAAAAGGUGGCCAACUCGUUCGCUCUCUGCCUUCCAAGCGACGGCAGGACCGGGUUCACCGGCAACGGCGUGGGUGCGGCCAUCUUCGGCGGCGGCCCGUUCUUUCUCGCGCCCCCAGCGGACCGGCCGUCCAUCACGACGCUCCUCUCCGACGGGGUUCCGCUGCGCCAGCCCUUCGCCGGUAACCCCGGCUACUUCGUCUCAGCCACCAACGGCAUCGCCAUAGACGGGACGCGCGUGGCCGUGUCCGGCACCGGCGCGCUCGUGGUCGGCCUCUCCACCACGAUCUCCUACGCGCAGCUCCGUGCCGACGUCUACCGUCCCUUCAUCACGGCCUUCGACCGCGCCAUGGGCUCCAGCGCCAAGGUCGCGGCCGUGGCGCCGUUCGAGCUGUGCUAUGACUCGUCGAAGCUGGCGCCGACGCGGUUCGGGUACCUGGUGCCGAACGUGGACUUGAUGCUGGAGGGCGGGACGAACUGGACGGUGGUGGGCGGCAACUCCAUGGCGCAGGUGAACAGCGGCACGGCGUGCUUCGCGUUCGUCCGGUCUGGGAGCACGGACGCGACGCCGGCGCUGGUGAUCGGAGGGUUCCAGAUGGAGAACAAGCUGGUGGUGCUGGACAAUGGCAAGAAGACGCUCAGCUUCACUCAGAACCUCCCGGGCAUGGGGUUCUCCUGCAGCAACUUCAAUUUCACCAAGGCCGCCUAG